ACCACUCGAAGAAUGAACAUGUCUUCACUGGGAUUAACAACAUAAUCAAACAUGAUCGUCUUUAUCAGUAAUAGAGCUUCAGAGAAUUUUUAUAUACAUAUUUUUUUGGGUAUUUAUUUAGAAUAUAUUGGUCGAAAUGUGAGAAUUACUUAAUAGAGAUUCAAGAAGAAAACUAAGUCAUAUUUAUUUAUUUAUUUUGGGUAAAAAGCCAUAUUUGUUCAUAAAUGUCUUUGUAAAGCAAGUUGUGACCGAUACC
rnacentral:lncRNA from 1 species